UAUUGGACACUGGGCGCAAGCCUGAUCCAGCAAUACCGCGUGUGUGAAGAAGGCCUUAGGGUUGUAAAGCACUUUCAAUUGGGAGGAAAACCUGCCGGUCAAUACCCGGUAGCUUGACAUUACCUUUAGAAGAAGCACCGGCUAACUCCGUGCCAGCAGCCGCGGUAAUACGGAGGGUGCGAGCGUUAAUCGGAAUUACUGGGCGUAAAGCGUGCGUAGGCGGUUCGUUAAGUCAGAUGUGAAAGCCCUGGGCUCAACCUGGGAACUGCAUUUGAAACUGGCGGACUAGAGUUUAGUAGAGGGGAGUGGAAUUUCAGGUGUAGCGGUGAAAUGCGUAGAUAUCUGAAGGAACACCAGUGGCGAAGGCGACCCCCUGGACUAGAACUGACGCUGAGUACGAAA
rnacentral:rRNA from 1 species